GCCUUCUUAGCUCAGUUGGUAGAGCAGCUCAUUCGUAAUGAGCAGGUCGCAGGUUCGAGUCCCGUAGAAGGCUCAA
rnacentral:tRNA from 1 species